GACGAACGCUGGCGGCGUGCUUAACACAUGCAAGUCGAGCGGUAAGGCCUCUUCGGGGGUACACGAGCGGCGAACGGGUGAGUAACACGUGAGUAAUCUGCCCUUCACUUCGGGAUAAGCUUCGGAAACGGGGUCUAAUACCGGAUACGACACUUUCAGGCAUCUGAUGAGUGUGGGAAGUUUUUUCGGUGGGGGAUGUGCUCGCGGCCUAUCAGCUUGUUGGUGGGGUAAUGGCCUACCAAGGCUUCGACGGGUAGCCGGCCUGAGAGGGUGACAGGCCACACUGGGACGGGGGCACGGCCCAACCUCCUACGGGAGGCAGCAGUGGGGAAUAUUGGACAAUGGGCGGAAGCCUGAUCCAGCAACGCCGCGUGAGGGAUGACGGCCUUCGGGUUGUAAACCUCUUUCAGUACCGACGAAGCGAGAGUGACGGUAGGUACAGAAGAAGCACCGGCCAACUACGUGCCAGCAGCCGCCGCAG
rnacentral:rRNA from 1 species